rnacentral:rRNA from 1 species
UCAGGAUGAACGCUAGCUACAGGCUUAACACAUGCAAGUCGAGGGGCAGCAUAUCGAAAGCUUGCUUUGAUGAUGGCGACCGGCGCACGGGUGAGUAACGCGUAUCCAACCUUCCCUAUACUAGAGGAUAGCCCGGCGAAAGUCGGAUUAAUACUCUAUGUUGUAUUUCGAGGACAUCUGAAUAAUACCAAAGGUUUACCGGUAUAGGAUGGGGAUGCGUCUGAUUAGGUUGUUGGCGGGUAACGGCCCACCAAGCCUACGAUCAGUAGGGGUUCUGAGAGGAAGGUCCCCCACAUUGGAACUGAGACACGGUCCAAACUCCUACGGGAGGCAGCAGUGAGGAAUAUUGGUCAAUGGACGAGAGUCUGAACCAGCCAAGUAGCGUGCCAGGAUGACGGCCCUAUGGGUUGUAAACUGCUUUUAUACAGGGAUAAAGUGCACUACGUGUAGUGUUUUGUAGGUACUGUAUGAAUAAGGACCGGCUAAUUCCGUGCCAGCCGCAGC